GUGUUUGACUGGGGUCCCUACCGAAGUCGUCCCCCCAGUCGCUUUCGAACGAGUCGUCGGAAGGGUCGGUGUUCGAAUUCGGCUGUUCCUCUUCCGUCGUGCUGUUGUUCUCCGUGGAAUUCUGGGUGAUUGAUGACAUACCGUAUCGGCUGUGUGGGAGUCCCGGAUGACAGGUUUGGCGUCUCCGACAGCAGAGCCUGUUUCUCCCCCUGCGCCACGGACAGCCGGUUCGGGUUCUUCCACACCUUUACAUUAAUGAUGGGAUCCGCUAGGGGCGUCAGGAACACGCACGGCGUAUAGCCCUCCUUUCCGUUGUACCUACCGCGGGAGGGACGUACAAUGAAUGAAGGAAGGAAGGAAGGAAGGAAUGAUAUGUAAAUGAGAUGGAAGCAUACCUGACAAGCCACCACCCAUCCUGAUACUCCGUGAGCAGCUCCACCACCGUGCCUUUCUCCAGAUCUAGUUCAUCCUCCUCUUGUGCACGAUACUCAUGGGUCGC